GACAGACAUACACAAAAACAAAGAUGAUCUGUAAAUGAGAUCAUUUGAUUUGAUGCCAGUUUUCCCUUUCUUCCUUGUAUACAGACAUUUCAAUGCAACAAAAUUCGAGCCCGAAAAAGAGAAACACGCAUACGAACAAAUAGAGAAGCACAGGGCAUGGAAUCGAGAAUACACAUAAGAAAAACCAUCACUGAGGCAAGCAAGAAUCGAACCUUCCUUCCUUCCUUCCUUCCUUUUCCUGCAUGAAUGCAAAAGAAAAGAUAAGA
rnacentral:ribozyme from 11 species